UACGUAGGGCGCAAGCGUUAUCCGGAAUUAUUGGGCGUAAAGAGCUCGUAGGCGGUUUGUCGCGUCUGCCGUGAAAGUCCGGGGCUCAACUCCGGAUCUGCGGUGGGUACGGGCAGACUAGAGUGAUGUAGGGGAGACUGGAAUUCCUGGUGUAGCGGUGAAAUGCGCAGAUAUCAGGAGGAACACCGGUGGCGAAGGCGAGUCUCUGGGCAACAACUGACGCUGAGGAGCGAAAGCGUGGGGAGCGAACAGG
rnacentral:rRNA from 1 species